AAUCUACUUUAGGGGUGUCUGCACUUUUGCAGGCUGAGAUUUUACCCUCUGAACCUGAUACAGUUCAUACUGGCGUAGGGAAAAGUAAGAUGACUUCU
rnacentral:ncRNA from 2 species